UGCCAGCCGCCGCGGUAAUACGGAAGGUGCAAGCGUUGUUCGGAUUGACUGGGCGUAAAGCGCACGUAGGCGGGUUUGUAAGUCGGAUGUGAAAUCCCCGGGCUUAACCUGGGAACUGCAUACGAAACUGCAGAUCUUGAAUGCUCGAGAGGUUGGUGGAAUUCUAGGUGUAGGAGUGAAAUCCGCAGAUAUCUGGAGGAACACCAGUGGCGAAGGCGGCCAACUGGCGAUGCAUUGACGCUGAUGUGCGAAAGCGUGGGGAGCAAACAGGAUUAGAUA
rnacentral:rRNA from 1 species